rnacentral:rRNA from 1 species
UACGUAGGGGGCAAGCGUUGUCCGGAAUUAUUGGGCGUAAAGAUCGUGUAGGCGGUCCGGUAAGUCAGCUGUGAAAGUCAAGGGCUCAACCCUUGAAAGCCGGUUGAUACUGUCGGGCUAGAGUCCGGAAGAGGCGAGUGGAAUUCCCGGUGUAGCGGUGAAAUGCGCAGAUAUCGGGAGGAACACCAAUGGCGAAGGCAGCUCGCUGGGACGGUACUGACGCUGAGACGCGAAAGCGUGGGGAGCAAACAGG